UUUAAAAUUAUGUAUGUUUUCUGUGUGCGUAAUCUUCUCAUCUUGUUAUCUGGCUACGUGAAGAUAGUAUCAUAGUAAUAUAUGUCAUUCAUUUCAUGGUUUAGAGAUGCAUACAUGCAUGUAGACACCAAUAGGUGAUUAUUUGGAUUACUUAUUGGUAGAUGUUACAUUACAUCAAUCAUAUGGUAGACGCCAAAUUCAUUGUUUUGGUAGCAAAUGUCAGUGAUGACUGUUGAAAUUUCAGGACCGAGGGGAACCCAUGUUAAUGGGCCUAAUAUUUUUGGGUUUACUUAGGCAUUGGAUGGGAGCCCACUUUCUCAAAAGGCAAUGGCUCGUAAGACUAGGUCCAUCCAACACCUUAUAAACCAUUCACAAUUCCUUCCAUUUUCUUAUGUGGGACUUGUGUUGUGGUUCUCCAACGAUGACUCAGUAAUUUCCAAAAAAAUGAAUGUUGUGUUGAUCCUGUGUCUUCCAAUUGCGUAAAACAUGUUAUUACCAUGGUAUUUAACAUGGAGCUGUUUAUGUUUCUAGCUUGCAUGCAAUGAUUUUUUCUGUCAUUCUGUGUCUUGAAGGGGUGUUGGUUGGUUGAUUAAUAUGGUAGUGCUAAGAAAGUCGUCAUAUCGGCACCGAGCAAGGAUGCCCCCAUGUUUGUUCUGGGUGUCAAUGAGAAGUAGUAUAAGCCAGAACUUAAGAUUGUAUCCAAUGCAAGCUACCAAUUGCCUAAACCCUUGGCAAAGAUUUGGUUUCGUGGAGGUUUUACGACCACUGUUCAUUUCCAUCACAGGACUGGAGAGGCAAAAGAGCUGCUUCAUUCAACAUUAUCCCUAGCAGUAAUGGAGCUGCUAAGUUAAGUACAAAAAGAAGCUCAUCUGUCAUUACAUUUUUAGUGUGCUCCAUUUUAUUUGCUUAUUGAGAUGGCACUUUUAGGAUGUUAUCUGGUUGAAACAGUUUAGGUUGUGUCCUCCGGAUCCCCCCUUUAUGUUUUUUGUAGUCCAACUUAUAUCCGUGUUUUAAUUCCUGUUUCUAGGCGGUAGGGAAGGUUUCUUCCUGAUUUGAAUGGAAAAUUGACAGGGGUGGCUUCCUGUGUUCCCAUGCAUGCCCCCGAGCUGAAGGUUUAGGGGAAUUGAGGUGUCCCUAUCGUUUGCAUGAUCAUUCUACAAAUAUUUGUGAGCAUCUUUUUUGCAGGAAGGAAAUUAGUGAUUCGGGAAAACUGGUCACCUUUUUUUUUUUUUUUGUAAGGAUGUUGGGUAGGUCUUGAGGUCUUUUUUGUUGUGUUUUCAAUUAUGGUUAUAGACUUAUAGUGGGAAUUUGCUCAUAUUCAUGACCUAUUUCCUUCGAUGAAGCCGUGAUCUAGAAUUGUGAUGAGUUGUUGAAAUAACUUUUUGCAGAGGUGGGCAAUUUUGGUCUGAGACGUAAGUGAAAUUUAGACAGCUUGAACUAAGAUUUUGGAACUGAAAUUUGAACCACUUAUUUAAUUAAAAAGAGAGAGAGAGAGAACUGUAGAGUGUAGACAACUAUCUUUUGGGUAUGUAUCGAUAAAGUCUCUGCAAUAUUGUGUCAGGUAAUAUACUAAAUAGACGUAUGAUUGUAUGAACAUUUCAUGUAGAUUCAGAAGAAAUUGAAAUCACAGGUCACAUGUGAAAUUGAAGUAUGAUGGUUCAUCGCCGAUUAGCCUUUUCAUUUUGCUAGUUUUAAUGGAAGGAAUGCUGGGACGCUUUAAUAUUGAGUCCGUUUGUUGGUGCCUUGGUGGCAAUUUUCCCCGUCUUCCGGAGCUCACAAGUGAAAUUGCCAGGCAACCUUAAAAAGUAUAAACACAUUUAUUUCUUGCCCGUUUUAUUGCACCAUUUCAUCUAUAUCUUUUGUCAGUUUCUACAUGUAAACUAGACACUGGACACCAAUAUAUUGUAGACUCACUUGGCAGCCUAUCAAUUAAUAUACCGGUUAGUCAAAUAAGGAGUAUAAAAUAAUUUGCUUUUCUGCAGUGUCAAAAGGAAUUUAUAUUUUUAUGGUUCGACGGUAGAAAAAUGAG